UACGGAGGAUCCGAGCGUUAUCCGGAUUUAUUGGGUUUAAAGGGUGCGUAGGCGGACCCGUAAGUCAGUGGUGAAAGUUUGCAGCUCAACUGUAAAAUUGCCAUUGAAACUAUGGGUCUUGAGUGUAAAUGAGGUAGGCGGAAUGUGUUGUGUAGCGGUGAAAUGCUUAGAUAUAACACAGAACACCAAUUGCGAAGGCAGCUUACUGGGAUACAACUGACGCUGAGGCACGAAAGCGUGGGGAUCAAACAGG
rnacentral:rRNA from 1 species